rnacentral:misc_RNA from 1 species
AGAAAAUCUCACACAUUCUAUUUACAUAUAUUUGAUCAAAAAAAUAAAAUAAAAUAACACAAAAACGUAUGAUCCAUUCACUUAUUACAUAGUACUCCUUAGUUUAUAUUUUUUAUAUGGCUGAUCCUCAUGCGAAUGCGCCGUCCCGAGACGAUCAACCACCGCCCAACCCCUGCGUGCAAGUCCCAGCUGAACCUCUUGUGCUGCCAGAGGACCAAUCGCCGCGCUCCACGUCAUCGAAUCCGUCGCCUAGACCCGUUCGAUCUCCCGGUGGGUCUUCUAGUUAUCUCGGUAGCGGUAGGCAUCCGAUUUAUAGGGGAAUUCGGAGCCGGAGCGGGAAAUGGGUGUCGGAGAUCCGGGAGCCACGUAAAACUACACGUAUAUGGCUGGGGACGUACCCUACUCCUGAAAUGGCAGCAGCCGCCUACGACGUCGCAGCUCUCGCCCUCAAAGGCCC